rnacentral:rRNA from 1 species
GUAGGGAAUAUUGGGCAAUGGAUGCAAGUCUGACCCAGCCAUCCCGCGUGCCGGAAGAAGGCCCUCAGGGUUGUAAACGGCUUUCGACGGUGAAGAACCGACAGGAUGCGUCCUGUUUUGACGGUAGCCGUUGAAUAAGCACCGGCUAACUCCGUGCCAGCAGCCGCGGUAAUACGGAGGGUGCGAGCGUUGUCCGGAUUUAUUGGGUUUAAAGGGUGCGUAGGCUGGAAGGUCAGUCAGCGGUGAAAAGCUAUCGCUUAACGAUAGUCUUGCCGCAGAUACUUCCUUUCUUGGAUGAGGAGGAGGCCACUGGAACGGAUGGUGUAGCGGUGAAAUGCAUAGAUAUCAUCCAGAACACCGAUUGCGAAGGCAGGUGGCUGUACCUUAAUCGACGCUGAUGCACGAAAGCAUGGGGAGCAAACAGGAUUAGAAACCCCAGUAGUCC